rnacentral:rRNA from 1 species
CCUACGGGAGGCAGCAGUGAGGAAUUUUCUGCAAUGGGCGAAAGCCUGACAGAGCAAUACCGCGUGAGGGAUGAAGGCCUACGGGUUGUAAACCUCUUUUCUCAAGGAGGAAGAUCUGACGUUACUUGAGGAAUAAGCAUCGGCUAACCCUGUGCCAGCAGCCGCGGUAAUACAGGGGAUGCAAGUGUUAUCCGGAAUUAUUGGGCGUAAAGCGUCUGCAGGUUGAUAUUUAAGUCUUUUGUUAAACCUCCGGGCUCAACCCGGAAUCUGCAAAGGAACUAUAUAUCUUGAGUAUGGUAGGGGUAAAGGGAAUUUCCAGUGGAGCGGUGAAAUGCGUAGAUAUUGGAAAGAACACCAACAGCGAAGGCACUUUACUGGGCCAGUACUGACACUCAGAGACGAAAGCUAGGGGAGCAAACAGGAUUAGAUACCCUGGUAGUCCUAGCUGUAAACGAUGGAUACUAGAUGUUGUGUACCUUUGGGUAUGCAGUGUCGUAGCUAACGCGUUAAGUAUCCCGCCUGGGAAGUNUGCUCGCAAGNGUAGAAACUCGAAAGGUAAUUGACGGUUNUUGAAGAGUUGCGACGGCGACGACGAGGGAGAGG